rfam:Marmoricola sp. Leaf446 contig_1, whole genome shotgun sequence.
CGUGAGCGUGCGUGCGCUCACGUCCGAACCCCCUACUCGAGUACCUGACACGGCUCGGGAGA